UCGGGGACAACGGGGAGGAGGGGGACCUGGGCAGGUGUCUCUGGUGAAUUGAAGACAUUUCCUUCUCUGUCUUACGGUGGCCGAUCCUCAGGGCUUCUUUGUCGGGGAUGACUUUCUAGGAGGGCAGUAUCCUUUUAACUCUGGAGUGACUAAACACAAAACCAAGGAAUGAAGUCCUAAGGCUGACUCCUGUAAAGAGCUGUAACUUUUUCUGUUUUAAGAAUGCUGUCACGUCUUUUUUUUUUUCCUCCCCUUUUCUGCUUGAUAGACCUUUUCCCUCUCGAAGACCGUCUUUUAUCUGCACUAAUAAGGAAUUACCCAGUUUUUAAAUAGUACCGCCUCCUUCUCCCCUUAUGUAUGUUUGUCACACGGGAAAAUUUAGGGUAGUUACCGCGGGUACUUGUGCAAAUUUGAGGGAAAGUGUCAUUUCCAGUAGUGAACCCUCAGCUGUCUCUUUGUGCCUCCGAGAUACUGUCAAGCGUUGUAGCCUGAGAAAUUGACCCACUGAGCCUGCUUAAUUGUGUGCAAACCCGUGUUGAGGCGUUCUUCCUAGGCCCUAAUUUACGUAGGAAUAGGUUUUCCCUUCCGGUCUGUGUAUAAUGAGAGGGGAGAACGUUAGUGCUAAGGCGCUAAGUUCUGGAUAAAUACUUGAUUUGAUGUGAUAGUGUGUAUUACUCUAUCAGAAAUGCAGAGCGUUGUAUGAUUUUUCUGUGUACACGCGAUAAGAGCAAUAUUAGUUGCAAAAGGAAGUUUUCAUCUUUGAACAUUAAAGGUAUCCUUUAUUCUUGAUCACUAUAGCAUGCAAAAAAGAAACUAUAUUUUCUGUCCUGUUCUUUGUAUUACUGUUAAAGAGUUGGUAAACUGCCGUCUUGCUGUGAGACUGGGAAGUCGGCAAUGAAGUUAGAUUUGUAUUCAUGAACAUGAUCUGCCUGUCAUAUAGGCUUGCUUUGACUUGUUUUUUUUUUCAGUAGUGGCAAAGGGUUUUCUGCCACUCAAUCCACACUUUCCUCCGCAUUGGUAUCUCCGUUGACCAUUUUGCAAAAUAGUUUAUUGAGAUUAGGGGUCUGAUCUUUUGUAUAACCUGUUGUAGUGAACUGAUCAUAUGCGACUUGACUUUGGCCAAUAGUACCUCGUGCAGUGUACAGUACUACUAUUUAGACUUACUGAUUUGGGUAAUAGAAAAGCUAUGAUGUUAGAAAUGUUGUCGUUGUAUAUUGGAGAAAUUUUGAAGUUGCAUAUUGGAGUAAUUUAGUCCUGUAUGCUUUGUAAAUGAGUGCAUUCUAUUGUCGAGAGUAAAUACAGUAUUUUGUAGUAUAAACUUAAGCUUUUAGCUGAAGAAAUUGGCAGCAUAGUUGGAGUGUGGAGACUAUUCUUAAAACGCAAAUGUUUUAAAUUACAAGGAACUGUAGUGGUGUGUAGGCUGUAACAAUUCCUGGUGCCAAAUUUGGGAGAUUAUUUGGUUGAGCUACUUUCUAUAAAGAAACAUAUUAAGUAUCUGCAAUAAAAGUGGAUUUGUAGCUAUACACAAGGGAUUUUACAUUAUAAAUAAUAACUCAAUAAGGCACCUUUCUUUGCUCUUUGUGUAUCUGCCAGUUAAGACCAAAACAUCUCAUAUUUUCACUGGAGCUUCCUGCCAAAACAAAUACUGGUUUUGCAUUGGCUUUGCUGCUCAGUUUGAAAGCUAGGGGAAUCUCUUAGAGCCUACUCUGGUUCUGGAGGCUGCCUGAUUAAAAAAAAAAAAAAGAAAAAUUGAAAGCUAGGUUUCAGUCAUAUGCUUGCACCUUAAGUACAGGUUGUAAAGUAAAAAAGAAAGUUGCUGAGUCAGUGGCAGGUUGUUUCAUUUGUUUUUUUGAUUUGCAAAACGGAAUUUCUGUCAUAAUUUGAAUUUCCAGUGUAAUAUGUUUGCUGAAUAGCAAGGGCAGAUAAGCUUUCAUAAUAACUGAAUUAAAAUGUUAAUUUUCUUUAUACUGGUGCCAUAGAUUGUCAGUUUGACAGACGUAGCAAAGGGAUGCCUUGUUGGAAUGGGAAAUUCCUUUUUAUCAGCUAAAAUUUGGGGAAAGGAUUUUGCAUAGUACAGCUGGUGUAAAACAAUAGGUCUUUAGCAUCAGAUUGUAGGAUAUUCCAAAAUUAGGCAGUUUUAUUAUUUGAAAUUUGAAACUUAAUAUUUUGCAGGAAGAAGUUUAAAGCUUUAAAACAUUUUCUACAUUUGUUAAGUAUGUGGAUGUAAUAGAGCUUAACAUGGUAUUUGAAACCUUUUUUUUUUUUUUUUUGAGAUGUAGUCUCGCUUCGUCACCCAAGCUGGAGUGCAGUGGUGUGAUCUCGGCUCACUGCAGCCUCUGCCUCCCAGAUUGAAGCGAUUCUCCUGCCUCUGCCUCCCAGAUGCAAGCGAUUCUCCUGCCUCAGCUUCCCAAAUAGCUGGGAUUACAGGUGCCUGCCACCACGCCUGGCUAAUUUUUGAAUUUUUAGUAGAGAAGGGGUUUCACUAUGUUGGCCAGGUGGCCUGAUGUCAGGUGAUCCACCUGCCUACGCCUCUGAAAGUGCUGGGAUUACAGGUGUGAGCCACCACACCCAGCCUUUGAAAACUUUUUAUUGGAAAAAAUGUAACAUGAUUAAAAGAAAUUCAAAAGAAAAAAUUUAAAUUACUCUCCCCUAUCUAACACUUAUAUUUUUCUGUACUCUAAUGCUGUUAUACUUCUAUAAUGUAGUAGUAUAAUAUUCUAAUCCUGUCUGUGCUUGUGUAUAAUUCCGUGAUUAAUGUUAAUAUAAUUGUCUUUUAAUUUAACAUGCUUUCCCUGUUGCUGUAUAUUACUGUUAUUUUAUGGCUUUUAAUAGUCCAAAGUUUUAUUUACUGCCUCAGUUUAUUUAACCAUUUCCAUAGCUUAACAUUUUAGUAAUUCCACUUUCUUACUCUGAUUGUUAUUUUUAUUAAUUUUUUUUUUUGAGACCGAGUCUCGCUCUGUUGCCCAAGCUGGAGUGCAGUGGCGCGAUCUCAGCUCACUGCAACCUGUGCCUCCCAGGUUCAAGCGAUUCUCCUGUCUCACCCUCCCGAGUAGCUGGGACUACAGGUGCGUGCCACCACGCCUGGCUAAAUUUUUUUAUUUUUAGUAGAAAUGGGGUUUCACCGUGUUAGCCAGGAUGGUCUUGAUCUCCUGAACUCGUUAUCCACCCACCUUGGCCUCCCAAAAUGCUGGGAUUAUAGGUGUGAGCCACAGCACCUGGCUGUUUUUUUUUUUUUUUUUUUUUUAACACGGUCUCACUUUGUCACCUAGGCUAGAGUGCAGUGCAUCUCAGCUCACUGCAGCCUCUACCUCCCGGGUUCAUGUAAUCCUCCUGCCUUAGCCCCCUAAUAGCUGGGACUAUAGGUGCGCGUGCAUGUGCGUGCAUCACCCCACUUCACUAACUUUUUGUAUUUUUUGUAGAGACAGCGUUUUGCCAUAUUGCCCAGGCUGGUCUUGAACUCUAAGUUCAAGCGAUCCACCCAUCUCAGCCUCCCAAAGUGCUGUGAUUACAGGCGUGAGCCACUUUGUCUGACCCAUACUUUUUUACUCUUAAAA
rnacentral:lncRNA from 1 species